rnacentral:rRNA from 1 species
GAUGAACGCUGGCUACAGGCUUAACACAUGCAAGUCGUGGGGAAACGGCAUUAUGUGCUUGCACAUUCUGGACGUCGACCGGCGCACGGGUGAGUAUCGCGUAUCCAACCUGCCCCUUACUUGGGGAUACCCCGUUGAAAGACGGCCUAAUACCCGAUGUGUUUCAUUGACGGCAUCCGAUAUGAAACAAAGGUUUUCCGGUAAGGGAUGGGGAUGCGUCUGAUUAGCUAGUUGGCGGGGCAACGGCCCACCAAGGCGACGAUCAGUAGGGGUUCUGAGAGGAAGGUCCCCCACAUUGGAACUGAGAUACGGUCCAAACUCCUACGGGAGGCAGCAGUGAGGAAUAUUGGUCAAUGGACGCAAGUCUGAACCAGCCAAGUAGCGUGCAGGAUGACGGCCCUAUGGGUUGUAAACUGCUUUUAUGUGGGAAUAAAUUGGCGCACGUGUGCGCCAUUGCAUGUACCUCAUGAAUAAGGACCGGCUAAUUCCGUGCCAGCAGCCGCGGUAAUACGGAAGGUCCGGGCGUUAUCCGGAUUUAUUGGGUUUAAAGGGAGUGUAGGCGGUCUGUUAAGCGUGUUGUGAAAUUUAGGUGCUCAACAUUUAACUUGCAGCGCGAACUGUCAGACUUGAGUACACGCAGCGCAGGCGGAAUUCAUGGUGUAGCGGUGAAAUGCUUAGAUAUCAUGAGGAACUCCGAUCGCGAAGGCAGCCUGCGGGAGUGUUACCGACGCUUAAGCUCGAAGGUGCGGGUAUCGAACAGG